rnacentral:rRNA from 1 species
ACGGCGAGUGAAGCGGCAAAAGCUCAAAUUUGAAAUCUGGCUCUUUUCAGGGUCCGAGUUGUAAUUUGUAGAGGAUGUUUCGGGCAAGACUUCGGUUUAAGUUCCUUGGAACAGGACGUCAUAGAGGGUGAGAAUCCCGUCUUGAACCAUCUGUCGCGUCCGUGUGAAACUCCUUCGACGAGUCGAGUUGUUUGGGAAUGCAGCUCUAAAUGGGAGGUAAAUUUCUUCUAAAGCUAAAUAUUGGCCAGAGACCGAUAGCGCACAAGUAGAGUGAUCGAAAGAUGAAAAGCACUUUGAAAAGAGAGUUAAACAGUAUGUGAAAUUGUUGAAAGGGAAGCUCUUGCAACCAGACUUGUUUCCAACGGUUCAACCGCUGUUUUCAGUGGCCUAUUCCGUUGGUUCAGGCCAGCAUCGGUUCGGGUGGUUAGUUAAAGACUUUGGGAAUGUAUCUACCCCUCCGGGGGUAGACUUAUAGCCCUUUGUGUAAUGUGACCUACCUGGACCGAGGGACGCGCUUUU